rnacentral:misc_RNA from 1 species
GACUUGGGUGUUGCUGCUUUACUGUGGCUCACCUCAAAUGGAGUAGUGCAACUCUCGGUUGGACAUAGUACGGCGUGAUAAGUAUCUUCGCCGGCGCCUCACUCGAGGGUGGCCGAUCGGGAGCUCUGUGCUUCAAACCGUCUUCGGACAAUCUCUGACAACUUGACCUCAAAUCGAGUAGGACUACCCGCUGAACUUAA